rnacentral:lncRNA from 1 species
UUGUUUAAAAUGUGAACCAACUGGUCGGGGACAGUAAUCUAAUUCUGCAUUUGGUUUGAGGCCAAUGCAUUGAGGGCAUUCAAUAAAUAAUGGUGUUUGGUGAGCCUUUCCUAGAUCCUGGCUGCUUAUGUCCAAGAUGAAGCUAGGACCUUCAGAAGCAAGCUCAAGAGAUGAUGAAUGAAGGAAGGUGGAGCUCCGAAGACCAUGAAGAACUGCUACAGAAGAAAACAAGCUUUCAAUAAAAUAAAAGAGACAUCAAUCACACAUUUUACCCAUUUAUGAAACAUGCUCAGGACAAGGUACUCAGACGUGAAGAAGCAUUCCCAGGAACCAUCUUGGAGAACUGGACUUGGUAACAUGAGAGCUGGGAAGUCCCAAUUCUUGGUCAUGAAGAGUCUACCACGAAGAGAAUUGGUUUGGAAACCAGAAGGCUAACUUUUACAUGAGGCACCAGGGCUAAUGCCCACAGAUUUCAGAGAGGACAAUAAUGGGUAUUUCUGAUGUUGAAAUCCUAGGAUUGAUCUGACAGCACAAACCAAAUGCCAGCAGUUUCCCUGGAGUUCUGCUGCGUGCUUUUGCCAACCCUGAUGAUCCAGAGGACCUCACAUCUCAAGUGGCUCCUAUGGUGAAGGAACUACGGAGUUUCUCUGAGCACCUAAGAUUACUCUGCUUCAAGGAACUCAUGAGUGUGUGGACAGAAAAUAUCUUUGAGGGAUUCCCAGGAGUGACUCCAAUGAAAGACCAAGAGAGAUUUGUAAACACCAUGAUAAAUGGGGAGAGGCACAACGCUGCAUUCCUCCAGCGGGUCCUCUGAACACACCACGUUUCGGCAUCAGUUGGCUUAAAUCAUUCAUUUCAAAUCAGGACUGAAAUUCUCCAGUGUUCCUGUCAGGCACCCUUCCCAUCUGAUCCCCUGGAAAGGAUAUGUCAGUCGAAGUCACAGGUAACACGGUGUAUUAAGACUUGAGAGCGUUGAUAUCAAAUCCAUUAACUAUGCUUUUGGUUGAAGGCGGUACUGACAAUAUGUAGUAAGCAAAGGGACGAUUUUGGGAAAAGGGGAAAAAUGUUGAAGGUUCUAAUGGCAAGAGUUUAGGCGUGUCUUCAAAUGUGCUAGAACUUUGUGCCUCCUGUGUUCAUGCUCUGUCCUUGCUGCUUUU